GAUGAACGCUGGCGGCGUGCCUAAUACAUGCAAGUCGAGCGGUAAGGCCUCUUCGGAGGUACACGAGCGGCGGACGGCUGAGUAACACGUAGGAACGUACCCCGAAGUGAGGGAUAACUGCUCGAAAGAGUAGCUAAUACCGCAUGUGAUCUAAGGAUUAAAGCUUCGGCGCUUUGGGAACGGCCUGCGCAUGAUUAGCUAGUUGGUGAGGUAAUGGCUCACCAAGGCGACGAUCAUUAGCUGGUCUGAGAGGAUGAUCAGCCAGACUGGGACUGAGACACGGCCCAGACUCCUACGGGAGGCAGCAGUAGGGAAUUUUCCACAAUGGGCGAAAGCCUGAUGGAGCAACGCCGCGUGCGGGAUGAAUGCCUUCGGGUUGUAAACUGCUUUUAUAUGUGACGAUUAUGACGGUAGCAUAUGAAUAAGGAUCGGCUAACUCCGUGCCAGCAGCCGCAGUAA
rnacentral:rRNA from 1 species